rnacentral:rRNA from 1 species
GACGAACCGUGCAAACGUUGUUCGGAUUUACUGGGCGUAAAGGGCGCGUAGGCGGUCAGCACAAGUCAGUUGUGAAAUCUCCGGGCUUAACUCGGAAAGGUCAACUGAUACUGUGCGACUAGAGUGCGGAAGGGGCAACUGGAAUUCUCGGUGUAGCGGUGAAAUGCGUAGAUAUCGAGAGGAACACCUGCGGCGAAGGCGGGUUGCUGGGCCGACACUGACGCUGAUGCGCGAAAGCCAGGGGAGCGAACGGG